ACUUCCGCCCGGGGGGGCGCCGCAGCCGCCGCCGCUGCCGCUGCCUGAGGGAACGGGAGCGGCCGAGAAGAGGCGCCGGGCUGCGGCCUAAAAGAAGCGGGGAGCCGCCGCCGCCGCCUCCCAGCGCAGCCCGACCGGGGCCCGGGCCCGGCCCAGCUCAGCUCAGCGGCGGAGCCCGCAGCCCCGAGCGGCUGCGCCCAGCUCCAUGAAUGGAAAUCAGCAGCGCAGGACCCGUCGGGGCUCAGCCCCUGCUCAUGGUGCCCAGACGGCCUGGCUAUGGCACCAUGGGCAAACCCAUUAAACUGCUGGCCAACUGCUUCCAAGUUGAAAUCCCAAAGAUUGAUGUCUACCUCUAUGAGGUGGAUAUCAAACCAGAUAAGUGUCCUCGGAGGGUGAACAGGGAGGUGGUGGACUCAAUGGUGCAGCAUUUUAAAGUGACAAUAUUUGGGGACCGUCGACCAGUUUAUGAUGGGAAAAGAAGCCUUUAUACAGCCAACCCACUUCCUGUGGCCACUACUGGGGUGGAUUUGGAUGUGACAUUACCAGGAGAAGGUGGAAAAGAUCGUCCCUUCAAAGUGUCAAUAAAGUUUGUUUCUCGGGUGAGCUGGCACUUGCUGCAUGAAGUUUUGACAGGAAGAACCUUGCCUGAGCCUCUGGAACUAGACAAACCUAUCAGCACUAACCCUGUUCAUGCUGUCGAUGUGGUGCUACGACACCUGCCCUCCAUGAAGUAUACCCCUGUGGGCCGCUCCUUCUUCUCAGCUCCAGAAGGCUAUGAUCACCCCCUGGGGGGGGGCAGGGAGGUCUGGUUUGGGUUCCAUCAGUCUGUCCGGCCUGCCAUGUGGAAGAUGAUGCUCAACAUUGAUGUUUCUGCCACUGCCUUCUACAAAGCACAACCUGUGAUUCAGUUUAUGUGUGAAGUUCUUGACAUUCAUAAUAUUGAUGAACAACCAAGACCUCUGACUGAUUCUCAUCGGGUAAAAUUCACCAAAGAGAUAAAGGGUCUGAAGGUAGAAGUGACUCAUUGUGGAACGAUGAGACGGAAAUACCGUGUUUGUAAUGUGACCAGGAGGCCUGCAAGUCAUCAAACCUUUCCUUUACAGUUAGAAAAUGGCCAGACUGUGGAGAGAACAGUAGCACAGUACUUCAGAGAGAAAUACAAUCUCCAGCUGAAGUAUCCUCAUCUGCCUUGCCUGCAAGUGGGACAGGAACAGAAACACACCUACCUGCCUUUAGAAGUAUGUAACAUUGUGGCUGGCCAACGGUGUAUCAAGAAGCUAACAGACAAUCAGACAUCAACUAUGAUAAAGGCCACAGCAAGGUCUGCUCCAGACAGGCAAGAGGAAAUAAGCAGAUUGGUGAGAAGUGCAAAUUACGAUGCGGAUCCAUUUGUUCAAGAGUUCCAAUUCAAGGUCCGGGAUGAGAUGGCCCACGUGACGGGGCGCGUGCUGCCCGCGCCGAUGCUGCAGUACGGAGGACGGAACAGAACAGUGGCAACCCCAAGCCAUGGAGUUUGGGACAUGCGAGGGAAGCAAUUCCACACUGGUGUUGAGAUCAAAAUGUGGGCUAUAGCUUGUUUUGCAACGCAGAGACAAUGCAGAGAAGAAAUACUGAAGGGUUUUACAGACCAGCUGCGUAAGAUCUCCAAGGACGCAGGGAUGCCGAUCCAGGGCCAGCCCUGUUUCUGUAAAUAUGCCCAGGGUGCAGACAGUGUGGAGCCCAUGUUUCGGCACCUCAAGAACACCUAUUCAGGGCUUCAGCUCAUCAUUGUCAUCCUGCCAGGAAAAACACCAGUGUACGCGGAGGUGAAGCGUGUGGGAGAUACACUAUUGGGAAUGGCCACGCAGUGUGUUCAAGUCAAAAAUGUCAUUAAAACAUCUCCACAGACCCUUUCAAACCUGUGCCUGAAGAUAAACGUUAAAUUAGGAGGAAUCAAUAACAUCCUUGUACCUCAUCAACGACCUUCUGUGUUCCAGCAGCCAGUGAUCUUUUUGGGAGCCGAUGUCACUCACCCUCCUGCUGGAGAUGGAAAGAAACCUUCCAUAGCUGCUGUUGUAGGUAGUAUGGAUGCUCAUCCAAGCCGAUACUGUGCCACGGUGAGAGUUCAGCGGCCCCGGCAGGAGAUCAUCCAAGACCUGGCCUCCAUGGUGAGGGAGCUUCUCAUCCAAUUCUACAAGUCAACGCGCUUCAAGCCCACACGUAUCAUCUUCUAUAGGGAUGGGGUCUCUGAAGGACAGUUCCGACAGGUUUUGUACUAUGAACUGCUAGCAAUUAGAGAAGCCUGCAUCAGUUUGGAGAAGGAUUACCAGCCUGGAAUAACCUAUAUUGUGGUGCAGAAACGACAUCAUACACGGUUGUUCUGUGCUGACAGAACAGAAAGGGUUGGACGAAGUGGCAAUAUCCCAGCUGGAACAACUGUAGAUACAGACAUUACACAUCCAUAUGAGUUUGAUUUUUACCUCUGCAGUCAUGCUGGAAUACAGGGUACCAGCCGUCCCUCACACUAUCAUGUUUUGUGGGAUGAUAACUGUUUUACUGCAGAUGAACUUCAGCUGCUGACUUACCAGCUCUGCCACACAUACGUGCGCUGCACACGGUCAGUUUCUAUACCUGCACCAGCGUAUUAUGCUCACCUGGUAGCAUUCAGAGCACGAUACCAUCUUGUGGACAAAGAACAUGACAGUGCUGAAGGAAGCCACGUUUCAGGACAGAGCAAUGGCAGAGAUCCACAGGCCCUGGCGAAGGCUGUACAGAUUCACCAAGACACCUUACGCACGAUGUACUUCGCUUAAGUCAAUAAAAGGGGAGCGUGCUCGCUGAAAGGAAGAACUGACAAAUUAAGCCACAUACAAUUGCAAUAAGCGUUCGAAAAGAAAACCGUGUCCAUUGAGCUGUACCAGAGCAGUGCUUGUACCACUGGCUGUGGGAGAAUGGACACCUCCGAUUUUAAAAGGACAAAGUAAAAGCCUUAAUUUUGAAAGGAAAGUUUUAUAGUCAGAAGGAAUCUCGGAUUUUCCUUUUUUAAAUCAAAAAGUAGCAAAAAUGCUUCUGGAACUCUGCAAGCUUCACCGCUCGCUGCCGUGGUUUGGUUUAACAAAGGAACCGGCCCUAUUUUUGGCUUUGAGACAUGGAAGAUAUUUGAAGUAAACAAAAAGAUUUUUUUAUUAAGAUCUAAGUUUUUACAUGCUUAAUUAAAUCUAUUUGACAUCAAUAAAAUGUCUGGAGUUAUUAAAAGUUUUUAGGCUUUUUUCCUCUUUGAUAACGACUUUCCUUUUAAAAUUAAGUUAUUGGUAACUUCAUUUCACUUUGCAAAUAAAGUAAGAGGGCUGGGAUAGUUCUACCUUUAAAUCACUGAAAUGUGAAACAAACAAACGGGACUCUUUCAUUCCACUUUAAAGGUAAACCAAUAUUAAGAUGUCAGAGAUGAGCAUUUAUUCCGCGAGGGGACUGGGAAGUUUUGCACUUUGUAAACUCGUGAACUGCAUUUUUUUGACUGUUUUUUAUUUGCACUGGUUCAUAGUAUAUAUACUGCAGAUCGUUUCUAUGGGCAUUGCUGUUAUCCCAGCCCUUCUGAACCCCACCUGCUCUCCACAUGAAAACCAGAGGGUCGGUAAAGCAGCUUUAUCUCCUGGCGUUCUCAUGCGCUGUUUGCCAAUAUACUGUGUUUUGAGCCUAAAAUCUGAGCCCGUUUUGCUUCAGCAGGCAUGACUCUCCCCAUCUUUUCUGCCAGAAGACAAAGUACUGUAUUUUGUGCAUUUGUAUAUUGUACUGAAAUGUAUGUAGUGCUGUUCACAACGCUGUCUCAGAGAGCUCUGCUCGGCAGUUGGCGUGUAGGCAUGCUUUAUCUCCCACUACCAAGGAAGGGAAUGUAAAGACUAACCUUGCACCAUUACCAUUGCACUGGAAGUAGUCCUGAGGGUGGGCAGCUCCUGCAGCUCGGGGGGAGGGGGCUGCUGGGGAGCAGUGGAGGGCAGAGUGGGGUUAGGGUCAGCCCUGAGCCCCCUGUUGGGCUGCAGCUCCAGGAUGGCUCAGCCUGCAGGUGCCCACGGUGCCUCGAGGCAGAGCUGCAGGGAGGUGGUGGUGCAGUUGUUGGAGCAAGGAGGGCUCCUCAAUCUCUGAAACGUUGCUCUCGGUCGGUGGCCUGGCAGCUCUGCCUUGGAAGAGCUGUAGCUAGCAGUUCUGUUCAUAAAAGGUUCAGGUUAGGCUUUUUACAGAAAGCUAAUGUUUAAAGAGGAGUAGACUUUUUUUUUUUUUAAAGAAACUAUUUCACAAAGCCUUCUUGUGGAUUUCUGACGUUAAGAUGAAAACUCCUUUUUAAAAAGUCUUUUACUGCUCCUUUCAGAGAUGCUGUGCCCUUCUCAUCCUGCCCACGCUCAGUGACUAUGACCCGAGAGGCUUUUCGCUUUCAACUCUCACCAAAAAAAACAAAGAAACUUCAUUGGGAAGGUGACUUAAAUGCUGGCUCGACAGCUGGUUUACCUGGUUUUCAUGUGAAGAGUACGUGGAAGUUUGAAUCUCUCUUCUUGGUUUUGCAAAUAUCUACGUAAAGUGCCGAUACUUAUUUGUAUUACAAUAUCAACUUACUGGCGUUGUGAGGGCCACACAUUUAUGAUGCUGUAGCUGCUAUAUUUAUUUAAAUGGAGAUGGACAAUUACUGCACUAAGGAAUGAGGAGAUAAGCAAGGAAUCAAGGUUAGUUAGAUAUCUUGGGGUUUUUUUUGGUUUUUUUUUUUUUUUUUUUGGUUUUUGUUUUUUUCAAAAGAGAAUUAAUGGUGUGAAAUAUCAAGUGUAACAAAGGGUGCUGUCAUUUUAACUGAGAUUAAAUAGCCAGAUAUUCUUCCUUUGUUUAAAAACAUAUAUAUUUUGAUGUUUGCAGUUUGGGGGUGGGGGGUGGGGAUAAAUGGUACCUCAUCUGUGGUGGCAGUUUCCGGUAUAUUUUCAGAGUAUAUGGAUUUCUUUUAUUUUUGUACCUGCUCUCCUUUUAAAAAAGACAAAAAAAAAAAAAAUCUCAAAUUUUAUGUGCUGUGUGGGGGAAAUCUCGAGUGGCUCUCCAGGUCCCCUUCUCUCUGGGAGAGCUGUCUGUGGCCCGAGGGCUGUGCUUUUCCUCCCUUUGCAGACAUGCUGGCCUCGUGCACUGCCCAUCUGGGUGCGUGGCUCCCACCCUGCAGACACCGUACCAGUUCACCAAGACCUCGUUUGUACUCAAGUGCCACUUCCUGGUGGGAGCUGCAGUGCUGGUACUGUGCCAAAGCUGGGCUGUGCUGAGCCCUGCACCAAGCACUGGGCGCUCCGAAGCUGAGAGGGAGCAGAGCAUUGCACAGAGCAUUGCACAGAGCAUUGCACAGAGCAUUGCACAGAGCAUUGCUAGGAGGUGUGUUAACACGCAGCACCUGCUGGCAGAGCGACUGACCCCAUGCAGGGGGCUUCUCCU